UACGUAGGGUGCGAGCGUUAAUCGGAAUUACUGGGCGUAAAGUGUGCGCAGGCGGCAGAGCAAGUCGAGUGUGAAAGCCCCGGGCUUAACUUGGGAAUUGCGCUCGAAACUACUUUGCUGGAGUGUGGCAGAGGAAGGUGGAAUUCCAGGUGUAGCGGUGAAAUGCGUAGAGAUCUGGAGGAACACCGAUGGCGAAGGCAGCCUUCUGGGCCAACACUGACGCUCAUGCACGAAAGCGUGGGGAGCAAACAGG
rnacentral:rRNA from 1 species